ACUCCUACGGGAGGCAGCAGUUAGGAAUAUUCGGCAAUGGGGAAGCCAUCGACGAGCGACACUGCGUGAAGGAGGAAGGCCUUAGGGAGCUUGGUUAAAACUUCUGAACGAGAGACGAUAAUGACGGUAUCUCGGUAAUAGCACCGGCUAACUCCGUGCCAGCAGCCGCGGUAAUACGGAGGGUGCGAGCGUUAUCCGGAAUCACUGGGCGUAAAGCGUGCGUAGGCGGCUUUUUAAGUCGGAUGUGAAAUCCCGCAGCUAUACUUGGGAAUUGCAUUCGAUACUGGGAAGCUAGAGUAUGGGAGAGGAUGGUAGAAUUCCAGGUGUAGCGGUGAAAUGCGUAGAGAUCUGGAGGAAUACCGAUGGCGAAGGCAGCCAUCUGGCCUAAUACUGACGCUGAGGUACGAAAGCAUGGGGAGCAAACAGGAUUAGAUACCCUGGUAGGUCAGUC
rnacentral:rRNA from 1 species